UGUUGGCAAUGGGCAAAGAGACACCUUGCUGGUGCUAGUGUUCUUACAUCAUCCAAAAGCAGAGCAGAUGGCAGUCCUUGGUUUGUCCUAGCUUGAUGCCUGGUUUGGUAGCCAAAGCUGUUUUAUUCCUAGGACUCAUAA